rnacentral:lncRNA from 1 species
CCAACUCUGACUCCGCAAUAGUCGACCGACCGAAUGCACAACCCUGACUCUACGUCAGUUGAAUAUGUGACGACUCUUCAUCGAUCGACAGAGCGAAUCGCACCGAUCUAUGGUCGAUGACCGACUAAUGUUCGGCUACUGCUGAUGAAUAGCGAAUGAUUUGAGCUGCCGGCACAAUAGAACUACCAGCCGACGGUCAGACAUACUACCGUAUGAUCGGCUAAUCUGCUCAACAUACCAUAACCAUCACAGACGGUUACCAACCGCAUGUCGCGACGUAAUUAGUG